UACAGAGGUCCCAAGCGUUGUUCGGAUUCAUUGGGCGUAAAGGGUGCGUAGGUGGCGCCGUAAGUCAGGUGUGAAAUUUCGGAGCUUAACUCCGAAACUGCAUUUGAUACUGCGGUGCUUGAGGACUGGAGAGGAGACUGGAAUUUACGGUGUAGCAGUGAAAUGCGUAGAGAUCGUAAGGAAGACCAGUGGCGAAGGCGGGUCUCUGGACAGUUCCUGACACUGAGGCACGAAGGCCAGGGGAGCGAACGGG
rnacentral:rRNA from 1 species